rnacentral:rRNA from 1 species
CGAACGGGUGAGUAACACGUGGGCAACCUGCCCAAAAGAGGGGGAUAACACUUGGAAACAGGUGCUAAUACCGCAUAACCAUAGUUACCGCAUGGUAACUAUGUAAAAGGUGGCUAUGCUACCGCUUUUGGAUGGGCCCGCGGCGCAUUAGCUAGUUGGUGGGGUAAAGGCUUACCAAGGCAAUGAUGCGUAGCCGAACUGAGAGGUUGAUCGGCCAUAUUGGGACUGAGACACGGCCCAAACUCCUACGGAAGGCAGCAG